rnacentral:lncRNA from 1 species
UAUCUAGAUCUACUCUAGUUUAGAGAAGAGAGGAGAGCUCUCAUCUCUAAACCCUAGCUUUUUCUCUGUCUAUAAAUAAUGAAUAAUGAUCAAGGGGUGCCUCCUCUAGGGGCCAGGGGGUCUGGUUAUAUAGUCCCCUCAAGUGAACCUGGGCCGUUGGAUCAAACCGACAUUGAUUGAACGGUUAUUCUUGAUCCUUUAGGUCGGUGGAGAUCUCCCGAGAGAAAGAGUCCUGAUUGGGCUCCAAUUCAGGGCGGGCACCCAGGGCAGGAGGGCGGGCGCCCUGCCUCUGGCCCCGUUCUGGAGUCUUCUAGAUGUAAGAUAAUUGCGCGGCACGUUAAUAUCUCUAUGUAAUCCCGACGUGUGGGCCUUUCUUCCGUAUUUCCUGAUAACCCCCUGCAGAAAUAGACAAACACCAAAACUCGU